rnacentral:rRNA from 1 species
UACGGGGGGGGCGAGCGUUGUUCGGAAUUACUGGGCGUAAAGGGCGCGUAGGCGGUCUGCUAAGUUGGAUGUGAAAACUCUGGGCUUAACCCAGAGCCUGCAUUCAAUACUGACAGGCUAGAGUUCUGGAGGGGAUAGCGGAAUUCCUGGUGUAGCGGUGAAAUGCGUAGAUAUCAGGAGGAACACCGGUGGCGAAGGCGGCUAUCUGGACAGAAAACUGACGCUGAGGCGCGAAAAGCUAGGGGGAGCAAACAGG